rnacentral:lncRNA from 1 species
CAUCACCCUUGUAGGUUCCAAGAGUGGCCUCAGAGUUUGCCUUGCACCUUACCAGGAAUGCUCCCCUGGCCUUCACAACAUUUUCCUCCUUUCCUGACCAGGCCUUGAGAGUGCUCUGCUGAAGUGCACGUCCAAAGGAGAAGGACAGGUUCCAUGGCUUCUUCCCCUUGAGCUUGUUCAUGGCAUUGAGGUUGAGAGUGGCCUCCUCCUCACUCUGCCCCCCAGACAAAAACACAAUAGCAGGAACAGCUGCAGGCACAGUUCGCUGGAGGGUCCGAACAGUGUACUCGGCCACCACCUCUGGGGAAACCUUCUUGGCUUCUGAUCCAGGAGUCACCAUGUUAGGCUUCAACAGAGUUCCCUCAAGCAGAACGUGAUGGUCAUUCAGUGCUUUGUAGCAUGCUGCCAGAACACGUUCAGUUACAUAAGCACACUUUUCAAUAUCAUGAGGGCCAUCCACCAGGAUCUCAGGCUCAACAAUGGGGACAAGGCCAUUCUCCUGGCAGAUCAUUGCAUAUCUUGCCAACCCAUAUGCAUUUUCAUGGAUUGCCAACUCAGAUGGCUCAGUAGGGCCAAUCUUAAGCACAGCACGCCAUUUAGCAAACCGGGCACCAGCUGCAUAGUAUUUUGCACAUCGUUCACCAAGGCCAUCAAGACCCUGGGUGGUAGUUUCACCAUCAGUGCCAGUAAGCACAACUGUGCCCUUGUCUACUUUGAUUCCGGGAAGAACUCCACCUUCCUUCAUAACAUCCACAAAGGGUUUGCCUGAAAUUUAAAAAAGACAAUUUCAGUACAUCUGGAAUCUUAAGUUCCCAGGUGGGGGGAGAGGACCCACUCAAAUAAUGAAUUUUUUUUCUUCAAUUAUUUAGAGAAACAUAAAAAUAUCGCAGGUAUUAUACUCAAUUUCACAAAACUUGUGUGCAUUGGCAAAUAAUUUCAUCAUACUCCAUACAUAACAUAAUAAAAUAACUUAAUGAACAGAACUCACAGAAAUAUCACCCUACAUCUAAAAUCUCAACAGAUAAAAAUACAAUACCAGAGGCAGUCUUCUGAUAGAGAGUCUCCUCAAAGAGGAUCACUCCACUAAGGUACUGGAGGGCACCAGGAGUGCAGAAAAGGAGCUCACGGAGAGCACGCCUGUUUCCUUCAACAUUCUCGACAUUGAUGCUAGCUAGCCUCUUGCCAAUUGUGCCAGUUGACUCAUCAGCAGCAAGAAUACCCUUUCCAGGAGUGCCAAUGUAGGCAGCAUUGGCAAUAAGCUCGUCUACAAGGUGUAAAAUGUUAAUUAUUUUAUUUCCAUGCACAAUAUAAAUAAUAACAUUAAUGACAGAAAUUUAUGACCCCAAACACAAGCUUGGUUUGAGAGAAGACAUAAUAAAAUCACAGCAGGCAAUAGAAUAGAGGACAAAGUCACCCUAUUGCUUAUCGGGCAUAGGAAAUUAAUAGUAAACACGAAAUGAACCCACGCCACAUACAGUGAUCAAUUACAGCAUUGAUAGAUAACAGGUCAUUGAUAGACCAAGUUUACUAGACAAUUUCAUACAAACUAUUAUCAACAUUUGCUCACAAAUAAAUUCAUUUUAAUUCAAAAAACAGAUAGUUUGCUUUAUAUAAGCUUUGAAAUAAGGAUUAUGCAUGAUCCAUCCACAAAUGAUCUAAUACUAAUCCUUUAUUCCAGUUAAUGCAAGAUUUCCUAACAUUGAAUGCAAUUUUGAUAUAAAAAGUAUAAAUGAUAGUGUGAUACACAUAUUUUAAACUAAUCAUAUCAGGUUUUACAACACUAUUAUCUUAAAUCUUGCCACUAAUAUUGUAAAUCUGAAAUAUCUUUUGAGGUAUGAAUAAUAUAUCUCUCCUUACUACAUCUUAGCAUCUGGGAUCAAACAAAAACACAGAUACCCAAAUCCGUUUCGGCCUCUAUGUUCAAUAAUCACCCCCUUGGAAUUUUUGAGUAUUGAAAAUCCCAAAGCUAUUUUAAUUUGUUUUACUGUAAAUAUACAUGCAACUGAACCACCGUGUGCUCUUGUAGAGUUGUUAAAUACAAAUUCAUCUGAAACAACAGAUCGACCAAAAGGUUAACAAAGAACUGCGGAAAGUACCCUAAUAUCAUAGAUCUACAUUACCAGCAUACUAGAUUCAAAGAAAGAUGAUAACUUUUAUAUCUUUUUAAGUAGCAGUGACAGAGGAACAACAUUAAAAAAUAAAUUGGGAAAAAAAGACCAUGAAAGAAACCGAAAACAACAGAUUUGAAUGUUGGAAUUGAUAAUUGACAUCAGAUCCCAAUCUUAAAGAGAAUAAUAGACGAAAAAGCUCAGAUCUGAAGACAGAGAAACAGGGAAAAAGGACGAAGCACGGCAUAAAGAUCUAACAAAGAAAAAAAAAAGAGCUUAAUAAACAAGAGCAAGAAAGCAGAGAUUUUAGGGAAUUGAACUAUACCAUGGUAUUUUCCCUUGUAGCAAGUCAUGGAUGGAUGAUUAGAUUUAGAGAUUUGUAGAGAGAGUCGUUGUUAGAGAUAGAAGAGGCGACACAGAGACUGAAAAGUGAUGAUCGGUUAGGGUUUUAUUACAAGAGGGAGAGAGAGAGAGAAAGGGAAAGCGAGAGGGGCAUCGAGAUUUUCGCUAUGCGCGUGGUUUAUUUGGCUUUUUCAUCACGUAACCGGUAACAACCCAUGGGAUUGGCCUUGGAGACUACGACCUUCCACGGGCGGUUCCUCACUUCUUUUACGCUUUUGCCCCGCCAUCUACUGGGCCAGUGACGGUCUCGUAUUGGGCUUGAAACAUUUCUUUUUUUAAAAAUUCAUUCACUAACAAUAACGGAUAGUAUCACUCCCCUAAAGCAUUAUAUGAUCUCCUGUAUGACUAUAAGAUAUGGAAUUAGAUCCUGACAUGAAAUUAAUUAAAUCGUUUUGAAUCCAAUACGAUGAAAGCGGGGUUGGGCUCAAAGCUUGGCCCAAUAGAAAGCCGAAAUAGGAAAGGUCAAAUACGGUAAUCAAAACCUAAAGAAAACAAAGUGGGGACAUCCAGAAAAAGCGUAGGAAAACAAAACAAAAGGCGAAAACCACCUGCGAUGGAAUAGGUGGGUCAAAACAAGGGGUAAAAAGACAAAAAAAACCAGGGGCAUGGGAGGAGUAGGUGGAGAACGUAAAAACAGAGAGCGACGGCUUCACCGUGCGCUAGGGACCUUUAGGUUCCCAGCACCUUUCUUACGCCUGUGGUUUGUUCUCCUAUUCCCUCUUCUUCUUACCCUUGCUGACACGCUGCCACCUUCCUUUCCUCGUCUCCCUUUUCCAUUUCCACCACUUUUCUAAGCUAUCUUCGUAUUCUUUCCUCAAUCCUAUUUUUCAUUUUUUAUUUUUUAUUUUUAACUGACAAAUAUAAUAAAAAUAAGUUUAUAUUUUCUCCGUUUCUUUUUUAUACUGUGAAGACAUUAACGUUAAAAAUAAAAGGUAGGUGGAUCAAAAAUUCAAAAUUAAAAUUUAUGAAUGGAGGCGUGGUUGAGGCUGGCGGUUGGUGAGUUCUGCCCUGGGGGUCCGAUUUCAACAACUCACAAGUCAACCUAACAUUGUUAGGUACGCAGAACACUCGGCUCAGAUCUACUUUCAUGAUAUAAAAUAUAGUUGGGCAAUGGACAUCACUUUACAAUAGGUCAUCCUCUCACGCAUGUGACCAUAUUAAUAUUUCUUUUCUCAUCACAAAAUUAUAAUCAAUUUUCCACUCUCAGGCGCGUAUAUUAUUAUACGGCUUAAUGAAGAGGAAAAAAAUGAACACGGUGGACUGUCGUUUUAAUUUGAAUUUGACCUCCCUAUAAAAUUGGGGGAAUCAAUGCACAAACUCUUUGCCGGCAUUUCUUAUAUGUCACUUUGAUUUUUUAUAUAUAUGUAUAUAUCAAAGUCUUGAAAAAUAAUGGUAAUUUACUAUUUUUAAUGAUAAUUAACAGCUGGCAUGAAUUUUGAGACGUGGACAUGAUUUAUUUAUUCUUAAGAAAAGAAAGAGAAGUGGUGAUGAGAAUAAAUCCGCAAGUGGCAUGCAUUAUGCGUCUGGAAGAUAUAGACGUGAUUUGAUUUUGUGGCUUAGCCUGCUUUUGCGACCUGCCUUUUCAAAAUCUAUUAAGAAUUGAAUUGCUCCCUCUAGAUUAUAGCAUUAAUACUGCAGACAAUUAAGAGUGCGUUGGAUAGUAAUUUAAAAAAGUGUUUCUAAUUUUUUUUAACACUUAAAUUUUUUUAUUUUUCAAGUAUAAAAAAGUUAAAACUAAAAUCACAACCAAACGUAUUAUAAAUCAUUUGCUUUGGGGGUUAAUAUUUUUAAAAUAAAAAAUAAAAUUCAUGAUUAUAUUUAUUUCUUCAAACGUAGAGAGGAAAUAAAUUAAGAUUGCAUUGGAGUAGGGCUUUAGGACAAGUCGCUCUCAUUCAAACCUUAUCCUAUUUAUUAAAAAUAAUUUUCAUCAUUGUUCCAUUAAAAAAAAAAAUAAAUGGGAUGGGUAGCUGCCCUUCUCGUUAUAUUUUAAUUUUUUUAAUUACAUUAAAAUAAUUAUAUUUUAUAAAUAAUUAAUUUUAAAUUAAAUUAAUUUUAUAUAUGAUCAGGAUGUACACAAAGAGCUAGGUGAGAGAUAAGAUAAUACUUGAACUCAUCCCUAACCCAUAAUGGGUUUUCAAAAAAAUUUCACUCAUCCUAAACCCAUUUAAUCAAAUUUCAAACUCGUCUCAUUAGGAGUAGAGUGAGACGGGUACCCGAAAAAACUCAUUUUAUUACCAUCCCUGUUAAUAAAUGAAAAUAUUAAAAAAAUUAUUUUUUAUGGUUGAAUGUCAUUAUAAGAGAUAAAAAAAGAAAUGUGAAAAAAUUUUAAAAUAUUAAAAGAUUUAAAAUUGUGGAAAUUUUAUACAAUAAUUUAAGUUUCGUUUCCUUUAACCUUAUCAUGCUUCCUUUUUAUAUUCUAUUUUUUUCUCAAUCUUGUCAAAAACCAAUUAUAUUUUAUAAGAAAUAUUGGUGGUGCGGUGAUGGCGUGACAGUAACAAAAAACCACAUGAGGCAAAAGGCAAAGUCUUUUAAUGGAUUCACGUGGGUAAUUGAAAAGCAUGGAUCCAAUUAUAGAGAGCAGUCUGGUAGAUGAAUGAUUUCUCCAAGACUAAAGAUUGUUGUAGUCAUAGGCUUGUGGGUUGAUUCUUAAUCUAGAUCCAUUGAAUUAAAAUCACAUGGAACACUCAUUAAGCUUCCAGAACAAGGCUUAGCGUUGGCGAUUUCGACAUAAAUGUUUUUAAAUUUAUAAUAAUCAAAAAGGCAAUUUUUUUUUUUAUGUUUAAAUUUUUUUAUUAUAAAAAAUUAAUUAUUAUUAUUAUUAUUUUUAAAAUCUUUCUAGAGUUGAGGUGGCUAUGAGGUGGGAUGAUGGUUAUAUUUGGAUGAAUGAUUCUUAUGGACAAAGGAAAUUAAAAGAAUGAAGGUAUAUAAUAUUUUUUUGCUUUUAAUUAAAUUUUAAAAUCAAAUUAAAAUUAAUACUUACCAGUUACCACUUCCACAUAUUCCAUUUGGGCUUGCCAAACAAAUCAUACUUGAAUCUUUCUUGUGAAUAUCCAAUGAUUAAAAAAAAAUCACUAACAAUUAUAAAACAAAUUCCAUGAAUUUUUAUUUAUUUAUAUAAUAAUUAGAAAUAUUUUUUUAUUUUAAAAAGUAUUUGCCAAAUUAAAAUAUUAAAUGUAUCUAAUAAUUAUAAAAAAAAAUAAAUAUAUAUAUAUUCUCGGGUUUUUCUAUAUUUCGUGAAGGGCAUCUAUAUUUUGCACUCUUUGUUGUAUUAUAAUAUUUAUUAUUAAAAAAUUAUAAUUUCUCUUACGUUUAAUAAUAUUCAUAAUUAAAAUUUAUAAAUAAAAUUUUAAAUAAAAGAGAGACCUAUUAUAGGUUGAGGAUAUGUUGGGUCGGAUAAUGGCAUAUAAUAAAAAAAAUGAAAUUAAAAUAAUAAAUUAAAAGAAAUUGUUUUCCUAAUUUCAAAAUUCAAACUUUUAGAUUUCAUCAAUUCCCCAUUACAAUUAUAAGCUUGCUCAUGAUUUAAUAUUAAUAAGGCUUAUUAUAUCAAUUUUAAUGAAGGCGCCCACAGCCAAAGAUAGCCUGGGCCCAAUAGAUAUGACCCUCUACUUGUCGGCCCACUUGGCUACUGGGAAUGAUACGGAGGAUGACCAACUUAUUUAGAGUACGACUUAUUUAACAAGAGAAAAUAACAACCGCACAUUUGUUAACUCGUGUCCUUAAUAAUUGUUGUAUAAUGUCUACAUUUGUUAGAGAUGGCCAGCUACUUGUUGGGAAAAAGGGUUUCUUGAAUGUAAAGAUGGAAAAUAACUUCAAUGACGUGUUGUUGGUGAUACACAAAAUAGGUAUGUGAAGAUUGAGUAUUUUGUGAAGAAAGAAACUCAUCUCAACCCUACACCAAGAAAGAAGGUAUCUUCUAGGUACCACCGACUAAAGGGUACUUCCCUAAAUCACCACUAAAUUACUUAUAAGAUUGUACUGAUAGAACCGUAUUUUCUAAUUUGGAAUUUAGCCAAAAAGUCUGCAAACACCGUGAAGACCAAUUCCAUGCUUCCAAUUGUUAUAAUAAAUAAUGAUAUUUCUAAUUUUAUUAAGUCACGUAGAUAUAAUAUGAUAUAUGACAAAGAAAAUGAGAUAUCAUAUUUUAUUUUAUUUUAUGCUUUGAGUGAUAAGAUUAUAUAAGUUACAUCAUAAUCUAUCUUUAUCUUUAAUCAAACAAGGAAUAGAAUAACAUUUAUUUAGUCUCUUUUUUAUAUUUGAAUAUUUUAAUUUAAGGAUAUUAUAUCCCAUUAUAUCUUACCUAAUGAGAUAAAAUAUAUUUCAUCAAUCAAACAUAAUUUCUUGUUAUUAAUAAAUAAAAAUUAAUUCAAAACAAAUUAGAUACUCAUAUAUUUAUGUUUAAUUUUUAAAAUUUCAAAUAAAUUGUUUUUGAUAUUAUAUUAUUUAAAGUUGUUAAUAACAAAAUAUAUCUUUUAAAGAAAAUAUAUUCAUUCUUAUUAAAUGAAAUUAAAUAUUGCCUCCCACCCGAAUCUCUGCUCCGCCCUUGUAUGUAGCUACACCUACAUCCAAUAGUUUCAAAAGAGAUAUCAUAACCUAUGGCUUGUUUGAUCAUAGAACAUUCUGACCCAAAUUUCAUAGAUUUGGGCAAAGGUGGUGAAGAGCAGCCUAACUAUCACAUAUGGUGUGGGCUUGGAGGUGGGAGAAAGAGCUUCUGUUGAAGCUUGUUCUCCUACCACAUUCCCCUGCGCUUGGCCUGCUACCUUCGCAACAGGCCUUGCGCUACUACUGCAGGAUGUCCCAGAGGCCUGUAAUUUGACAAAUGAUGUUACCCUAAGUCUAUUCGACUAGUUGUUAAAGAGAUUUAGAAAGAGAAAUGAGACAAGGUUCGACAAGUGAAGUGGAGAUCUUGAAUCUUGAGAGACUCCCUGAGAAUUCAUGAGGGUUGUUGUCUUUGGGGGCUUGAGACGAUUUUUUCUCAAAUAUCCAAUUCAAAGAGGACGGUCUUUUUAUGCAUCGCUCUUCAGUUUUGGAGUAUUACAAAGUGGGUUUAGAAGCGUGAUCCGAAGCGAAUCAGGGAGUGUUGUUGAUGCAAGAGGCUUAAAUUGGGAGAGAUUUCGGAUUGUUUUGGUGAGACGUUGAGCUGCCUUGGACCAUGAUCAUUUGUGAAGGAUAUAGUAGGAAGAGUGGUGAUUCAAGAUUACUCUUGAAAUUAUUGAUUAUCUCUACCUUCUUACUAAAUAAUUUUUAGAUCUAAGUACAGUUGAUCAAACCAUGAUAAUCUCGUGUGUUUUUGUUUUGUAUUUUAAUUGGAUAAUCAUAUCGGAACUUGAACUUGAGGAAGAAAUCCAGGGGGCACAAAAUCAGAUGAAAUUGCAGUAUCAUCAUCCCAGAGUUCCAGGAUGUGAUAUGGGGAGCCAGAGUUAUGACUGUGAUUAAUUAAAUACAACUAAUUUUCCUCACACCUUAAAAGAAGUUAACAUGGAGAUUCAAAAGCCAAUUUAUCUGAGCCCCAAAAAUACAUUGCUUUCGACGAAAUUGACAGCAUGUAUGGAUGAAGAAAGAAAGCAUUUAGAAUAUCCACUUGCCGGUGUCCCCCCAGCACAGAUGGAAACCCUCAACCUCAAGUAACCUAAUGCACCUACAUGCUACGUGAACAUCAAUGUCAAACUAUUAUGAUAAUGUAUAAAAACAACAAAAAUAAGAUUCGGAUUGGUGGUGCUUUCAAGAAGCAAUUCUAUAAAAGACUUGGUUCCAAAUGCUUGAAAGACGCUUCAUUAAAUCAGUGUAAAAAAACUUUUAAGUAGCCUAUCCAGGUUGAAUAAAGCUGACCAAACCAGGGGACUUUAGAUUGGGCACCAGACAGGCAGACACAGUUACACUGCCAAUAGAGGAAAGAGCAAGAUUUACUGUACGGGCUUAGGAGGGGUUUAACAAUGGGGAGAAGAGUGAGGGGAAAAAAUGUCAAAUGAAAGGAAAAUUUUGAAUGUAGCCUCAUACUCGAAAGUCAGAACGAGGAAGGUUUUGCUUGAGAGAGAACAAUCUGAAUGAAUAGGGUUUAUGUACAGAGUAAAAUUUUUACAACUCAAAUUCAUUUUCUCCACUCCAGUUGAGCAUAUUUUCCUAUAAUUCAGAAAGCAAACAAUUUGCUUUUUCUAGAAAAGAAAAUUUAUAUAGAAUAGGGAAUUCAAAGAGAAGAAACUAAGAAUCAGUCAGGGUUCUUACAGGCACAGAUCAACAAGGAGAACUCGACCUUCUCUUGUUCCUUAUUCGUCAAAUUCUUCUCCUCCAACCAUAGCCUGCUGUCCAGUCCGCUCCUUGUCCUAAACAUGAAAACAGCAGAACCGGAUGAUGGAUUGAAGAACCAAUCAUGAACAUCCCACAUCAUAUCCACUAGCAAUCCAUCCACAAAGAUGGUCUGGUUUCCCCGAAAAUUCCACCUUAAUCGCUUUACCUGAAUUACCUUCUUGUUGUCCACGCAGACAGAUAAUACCGGAUUCCUAGACCCUUCAUCUUCUCCGCUACACUUGAUCAGAAUGUCAUGGGCUGUUCCAGUGUCACAGAAUUGAACCUUAGUCAAGUAGACGGCGUUACCAGAGAAAUGCUCGCUCCUGGAAACCAAGGAGAAUUUUGCAACAGGGAUUCCAUUUAUGAGUUUUUUCACAUGGGGUUCCACAUCCAUGUCUCCAAGGAGGAGACUAAGUUCCGAGUCAGCCAAAACUAUGACAUAAAACCCAUUGAUUGGUUCUGGUCCACUGUCAUACUGAGCCCUGGAAAGAUCCCAGAAGACUUCAAUUCUUGAGUCGCAUAAUUCGAAAGUCCUGGUGCCCCUAUUAUUUCGAAAUUGAUGAGAGACUGCAUUGGAUUCGAAAGAAGAGGAGAGGUCGUUGCUGAUUUUAAUGCUGAAGCCUUGUCCAACCAGGUUGUUGCACCAGUUGAGAGUGAUCAGGAGCUGCUUUUGAUUGGAGAGCCUAGCCUUGUAAAUACAUGUAACUGCCUUUUGGAUUGAAGGGAUGAGGCUUGGGGAGAGACAAGCCUGGUUUGAAGGGCCUGAACAGUAGGAGUCUGAAACUUUAAUGGCGUGUUCGCUGUAACAAGAUGCUAUGGUUCUCAUUUUAGAGAACUGCCAAGAAAAAGAAAAGGAAAAACAAAGAUUAAAUUGAGGAAGGGUACUUUUAAUAUAGAAUUGCAACAGUCAGCACAGGGGGGAGAAGAGAGAGAGAGAGAGAGAGAGAGAGAGAGAGAGAUACUUCUCUCCCUUGCCUUAGCUGGAAAAUUUUCAGAAACUCAAGGCUGGGGAAGAUGGGUGCUCUGUGUUUAUCCUAUGUGACCUGUCCCAUCAUUUUCUAACAUAAUUGUGGGAGCAAACAAGUAGAGACAAACUAAGGGAAAGAAAGGAAGCCCAAGUUCCUAGACAGCCCAUUUACAUUAAAUAGGAAUCCCCUUACCUUAAAAUUUAUUAUAUGAAUAUGGAAAGAAGAAGAGACCAAAUACCACUUUAUUCAGCUUCUUACGCUAGUUCACUCUGGUGUAUUCAAGAAACUAAACAAAAUAUUUAACAAAAAAACAAAGUUUGACCUGAUCUGAUUCCUCUUAUUAAAACUUAAUUGUCUUAGUUUGGUGAUUUCAUGAAUCUCUCUGAAGUAAUCAAAUAAACACACAUCUGCGAAAAGGGGAAGAGUUGGUAAAGAUUUGAUCAAAGGGUUUAACAAUUAAUCUAAGUACAUAACAACUAGUAUUAAAUUAAUAGGAGACAAGCAAAUGCCAAAAGUAGCCAGACAGUAAAUUUUGAAAGAUGCCAUGUCGAAGCGUGGAAUUGGACAACUUUAAAUGCUAUUAGAUGAAACAGGAUUGAGCUGACGAUGGUGAUGAAUUGUCGAUGGCGAGAGUUGGGGCCACAAAUUUAAAAUAGUCUGGAGAUCCACCAAUUGCAAGUCUAGAAGUUCAGAUUUUGAUAUAUCCCGACUCUAUAUAAAUUGUUUAUUCCAAUGUGUAAGAUUAAGACCUUGAACUCCUCAAAUAGUUGAAUACAAACAAUAAUACAGUUGUAGUUGAAGGCACAUUAAAUUCUGCUUGAACUUCCUUGGAAGAGCUCUGAGGAGAAGACUGAUCAGAGCCCCAACCCCACAGAGUGAGGAACCAUAUUUCACCCAUAUGAAAAUCCCUCUUAUAUUUCUGAUUUGGAUUAAAGUUUUAUACUGGAGAUGAGGUUUGGGGUAGGAGUGAAGCUGUUUCUGCAUGUGAAAUAUCCCCAUGUGUUUCUGAUUCACAUUAAAGGCAUGCACUGGGUGUGUCUGAUUUGGGGGGUUUGUGGAUAGGAGUGAAGCUGUUUUUCCAUGUGAAAAUUCCCAUAUAUUUCUGUAACGUAUUAAAUUUUUGCAAUGGGUUGUUUUCAGGGUUAGGGUAGGAGUGGAGUUGGUUGGAUUUUGGUGGAAGUCCUGCGCUGGAGAUUUCAGGGUUGGGGUAGGAGUGGAGUCGUUUAGUUAUUGGUUAGUCAAUGGGUGGGUUUGAAAUUUUCAAAUGAGUCUCAGUAUUCAUCUGGCCUCAAGCUCCCAUUUUGGAAGAAGAAUAACAUAAAAAAAACACCCAUGGACAGAUUUUAAUAAAUUGCAAUUGUCAAUGUUACCAUCACACCCCAGUUUAUAUUUAAAAUCUAUGACAAAAAUGAACCAAAGAACUGGUUAUGCUACACUUCCUUUUGUGCUUGAAGAACCUUUUUAGCUAGAAGGGGACAAGAAGAGUCAGGUUAACCGAGAGAGAAAAAGUUGAUGUACAUGUGAUUCGAAUCAGUAUCGUACAUCAAUGCACUGAUGUACAUGUUUUUUGAUGGACCUUCACUUGGUUGAUAAAGAAGUAGCACGGUGGGGUUCAGUAGUUUUGAUUCUUUUCAGCUAUGUCUAUACAUAAUGUUUAGGCUGCAAAACAGGGUAGGUCUAAAUUGAGUUUACACAAUAAACCAGAAUUUGCAGUAAAAUUGGGCAUUGGUGAAGGGAAUCCUCAGUAUUGAAGAAGCAAAAACUCUAACCCGCAAGAAUUGCCCCCCCAUAGCAACCCCCCAAAUACAUCUAACUAUCAACAAGUCCAGUUUUCUGCAUUUUGAAAAUAUUUCAAGGUGUGGUGCGAUAUGCCUCUUAACUAAAAUUGAUCAGAAGCAUCAGUUUGAUGCGUUUCAAGGCAAUGAUUGUUCAUUGAACCGGUCAUGAGCAGGGAAGACAAUAAAUGAGAAAAAGGUAUCCUAUUAUGUCUAACAAUCUGUGUGAUCCAAAUAUUCAUAUAAUCACAUAUCACUAAUGAUCCUACAGUCUGAGGCAAAAUAAACAUACACUUCUAUAAUCAUAGAAUGAUGUACCAGUUACUACUAGGAGUUCUAUUUUUUUGGUUCCCAAGUUUUUAAAGCAGUCUUUUUCUAUUUAGGGCUACUUAGUGCACAACCUCAAAUGAACAAAAACCGAAAUAAUCCAAGCAAUUACCUAAUCACCCGUAUAUACAUUGCUUAUGAUAAUAUAAAUAAGAAAUAGAAGCCAACUAAGGAUAUUCUUUACUUAUGAAACCUCUGUCAUCCUCACAAGCUAAGAAGCAUUCUUUCUUUUGCAUAACAAUCUGUUUUAAGGUGGGAAUGGCCCACUCCAAUAAAUCUUCAAGCAAACAAUCAUAACAAUUUAACCUAAGGGAAUUUUAGGCAGAAAGACUUCCUCAGCCAGCUCACAGAUUUUUGUUCUUUCAGAAGUUGGAAUUUAUUCUUACAUGAUACAAGUAGUUAUCAUACUUUUGGCAAGUUGCAACAGCAUAACAUGCAAAUCAAAUAAAUUCCAAAUGCCAAAUCAAAAUACUAGAAGAUAAACUAAUGGACAAACAAAGUGAUGACUCCCACAGUGGAGAAAGAGUGAGAUUCACAUAUUUUUUAACUGAAUACUCCUAUGAUGCUGCUGCUAUAAUUAUCGAACUUCCAGAUUUGGAGAUAGAAUGCAGCUCCAAAAAUCUUUAGAACAGUGGAUUUUAAGAAUUUUUACUUGUGCCACAGCAAGAAAACUCCCUUUGUUUCAAUGUAAGUCAUUUGUAGACAGAACUCGUGUUUUAGUAGGUUGCCCCAUUAAGCAAAUUAGUUCAACUUCACGUGAUGGAGACUCUCAUCUAUAAAAUCUGUGUGGUCCGCCUAAGUUCUCUACCUCAAGAAAUGGUAAACCACUAUGAAUAUUGGUUAAUUAAAAAUUUAGAAUUAAUUACCAAAAUAGUAUAUAAACUACGUUGCACAAACGGAUAUCCAACAAUGAAUAUAUUUUUUCGGUAGUAUUUUAAAACGUGAAGGACUUUGUGGAGUGGUAGGUUUGGCAUGGGCCAACCAAUGGUCUUUUAUGUAUAUUAAAAAAAGCUUCCUCACCAUAUUAAGGGAAUAAAUAGAAAUGUUAAACGUAGAAGCUGCCACUUUCUCAAGUGAUCUCCAUGGCUAGAAAUUGAAAAGGUUAUAUGUGAUCCAGAAAGGAACUCAAUAUAGCUUUGGAAUUAGCACUAAUGACACAAAACAAAAGCAGUGAGUGAUUCCUAGCAGCAUCUCUAAUGCAUUAGGCAAUCAGCAAGUUGAUUGUUCUCCCUAAAAGUAUGCUUAAAGGUACUUGCUCUCCACUCUGCCAUUACCUUUCAAUACAAGAUUGUACAUUUGAAUAAAGCUAUUGGAUUUGUGAACCCCAUCCGAGAGAUAAGAACUUCAGUGUUACGACCCAUCAAUCAUAGGGUGUGGAAGUUUUAUCCACCUAACUCCUUUUCCUCCCCUGUUCCCAUUCAAGGAAAAGCCACACAUUCUCACAACUAUAAUGCCCACAAGAAAUCAGGGAAAAGGGACAUCUUUAUGGUGUCUAAUUGCCGGAAGACUGCUUCCAGAUAAGAAAACGACUUCCUUUUCUUGAAGGAAAAUUAGACAGAUUCCAAAACGUUGAGUCAACUUCAAAAGAAUAAAGAAAUAAACAAAAUGGGGUGGCGUGGUGCUCUCCACCAUCUACCUUCUGGUAAUAUGAAUAUCCCCAGAGCCACAUGAGGGGGCAAACCCACUAGAUACGCCAACUAGGAACCUCUAAAAUACCAUGUUAAGCAAUUAUAUGCACUCAAUGAUGAUGAUCAUGGCACAAGUCAACUUGCAGAACCAAAAAAUGAUUGUGACACCAACAACACCUUCCUUAAUCCAGAACAAACAGUUUGAUCUAUCCCAGUGAAAACCGAUUGUAGAUCAUAUAACAAUUCCCAUAGCUCAGAGUCACUGUAUAAUGAACUGUGGUAUCUAUGCGUUGGCUGGCUGACAUUUACAAUCAUUUUGGCAUACAAAAUCUGAGCCCAAGGAGGGCAUAAUCCAGGAUAAGUAAAUUACUCAAUCUAUGCUUCCAAUAGCUUCUCUUGUAGGUCUCUGCUCAGGGACCCUUGUGGGAGAAACUAGCAUGCAACAGGGGUGGGUCCCCUGGAAGAGUUGAAGCAACCACCCACAAAGCAAGAUCCUUCAGAAAAAGCAAACAAAAAAUGUUAUUCCAACCUCAUAGCCAGGGCCAUGUUUAUUCUUCCCCGUUCUGCAGAAGACUCUCACAUUCUCCCACACUUCUUAAGUUGUAGGAAUAAUUCUUGCAACUAGGAGCAUUAUGACAACAUCCUUUUAUCAUUCCAAAGAUUUGUUGACAACUAUCACUCAUGCUCAAGGACCAUGAUUUCUCCCACAAGGUUUUUCUGGUCUGGAAAAUAAACAUUAAUCUCUUAAACCCCUGGAGAGCUCAAAUGGCCAUGUUCCCCCUACCCUUUCUUUUUUUUUUUUUAAUGUAGUUUACAUGGCUCCAGAACUAAAUCUACCAUUAAAAGAAACGAGGAUUUCAAUAACAGUAAUUGUGGAUUGGUGACUUCUUUUCUUAAGGGGAGAGUUGGAUACCUUGAUCUCUAUGUUUUGGCAUUUGUCGGCUAAGCUAAUUCCAGUACAAUCUACAGUAACAAGUUUUGCUGGCCCCACAAUCCUCACCUAUAAUAGAUCCUAAACAAUUUUAAUUUGGAGGAUUAAGAGGGGGAAGUAAUACAAGAUGAAAAACUUUAGAAAUCAAUUUGGAGGAUCCAAUGGACUUCAAGUAGUUGAUGUCUCACUAUUUCAUGCAAUGUGUCUACCAAUCUAAUGACAAGCUUGUUCUUGAGCCUUCAAAGUGAAUAGGCAUGGGUCCAAAUCAAAACUAAGGAUGACCCAUAUGGAAAACCUUGCAAGCAAACCAGGUUUCAGUGGAGGCAAAAAGUCACUGCAUUCUUACUGGAGUGCAACAUAAUUACCAUAAACUAUUUGAGUGUGACAUGCCGACUCCAUUGAUGAGAGGUCUGUGACAAUGCAGUUAGUGCAGGAGAUGAUGAGAUCCAAACACAUGAUGGAAUACCCAUGAGAUAGUACUUGUUUCAAGAAUUCUACCUAUGCUUCAAACCUUGGUGCGGAAAAGCCAGGCAGACUUGUUUUUGGUCCUUACUUGUACACACAGCCAAUCAAGCUGAAAACUUGCUGGCUAACUCGGGAUGCUGAUUUGAAAUGGACAAAAAAGACAAAAAUUUCUUCAAGGGCUGACGAGAAUUAUUAUAUGAUGGUUGUAGAUGAAGCAUUGUCGGGGUGUGCCCCCCUCAGUAUCCCUUUCAAUAAAAGAAGAAACUUACACUCCAACUACUAUAGAAGCUAAUCCAUAUAAAAGAAUUAAUUAUAAAAAUAAAUAAAUAAAUAAAUAAAUAAAUAAUCCUGAAGAUGUAAUUCAUCCAUCAAACUUGAGUUAUAGUGUGGGUCAACUAACCCACCUGUUCAACUAAUUCAAGGGGCUUAUAAAAUCAUUAACCGGAUCACUGAAUUGAUGAUGACCAAUUUGUAGCUCGGAUGCAGAUUAAGGAAGUUGGGUUCAGGCAUUGUCUUUGUAUCACACCCUACAGCAGUCUUAAGACUUGUUCAAAUCAGAAAGGAAUGGGCCUCCAGCAGUCACAACCAAGCUUAGUGGGGCAAGUAACACUACUUUUCAGAGGACUCUAAGCUCUCAUAAAAAGUCUAAAAAGUCCUAAGAAAUGCUUAAAAAUUGCUUAAAUGGUGCAAUUUUUAAAAGAUUCAUUUUGUGCCAUGGGUGAGAAUUGCUUAAAAAUAAUAAAGGGAAUAAAUACCUCUUUCAUAGAGCCCAAAUGGUGCAACCAUUUUGGUGGCAUCACUGGAAAAUGGAGGAACAAAGACGGACCCCUUUUUGGCUUCUUCACUCUCGGAGGAUCGAAAUCUCAUCCAAACCAAAUUCUAAAACAUGGCACUAAUAUGUACCUGUUAGACAAUAAAUAUGUUUAACACCAAUGUCAGCCAUGUAACCCAGUUUGUAUGAGGGCUGGAAAUUCAGAUUUUUGAGUGAAAUAAGAUCUUUGAUUUUGUAUUUCUUCUUUUGCCUUUUGUUUCUUCCUUAGGCUGGUUAUCGUGGCCCCAUAAUUAGUGGAUUUCUUGCGACAUUCCUGGAAAUUGUAAUUUUUAAAGAAAAAAGAAUCAAAUAAAAAAAGGGAAAUCAGACAUUUUUGAGAAGUUUCAGCCGUGGAUUUAACCAUGGAGGGAUCUUCCGAUGGACUAUUGCUGGAAAAUUUUCAAUGCUGGAAAUCUAAUAUUCAUAACUUACCUGAUUUGGGCACCGUUUUCAUUCAAGAUGAUUAUGCAAACCUGAGAAACUGUCCCAUGCCUUCCUUUUGAGUUUGUAUCAGGUACAACUCUCCUUCAUCUUCUGUGAUACGGUUAAAAAUAGGUCAAUUAUUUUAUUUUAAAAAAAAUUAAAUUAGUAUUAUUUAUUUAAUUCAAAAUUUAGUAAGGUCAAGAGAUUUCAUAUAAAAUCAAUUAUUUUGUGGCUUUUUUUACCUCUGCAAAGUUUCUAAAAAACUCAUAAAUAUUGUGUGAUUGAUUGUAAUUAUGUGCGAAAUUAAUGGAUUUUUACUUCUGAAUAGUUAGUUGAUCAACACAAAACUUUCGGUAAGUGUGUAAAAAUAGUUUGAAGUGAUAUAGAAUAUGAAAAUAUACAUCAAAUUAAUAAAUAAGAUUAGCAAUAAUAAUAUUAUAGGUGUGCAGAAAAUAUUUACGGUUUGAUUCAGUUUAUUAUUGAUUCCUUUUAAAUAGAAAGCUUUGAAUCAAUUAAAUUAAAUUUUUUUAGAAACAUUUUGCCCACCCCAAGCUUUUUAUUUCUUUUUAUUUUUUCUUUCCUUUAAACUUUCUAAAAGCCAACCAUAGCAGUUGGAAUUUCUCUUUCAAGUAAUCCACGCACGGUUUAUCACAUCUAUGUAUAUACACACACGGACAUGGGCACAUCGGAAGACAUGAAUGAAGGGUUUGCCAUAAAUAUUGAGGAUUGGUGUGUAUGGUUGCAGAGAAUGGACUUGCAGAUCAUGUUCUGAAUCCACGGGUUUACUGCUUUAUACACUUCGUGGAUUGGGCCCAUGUCUCUUUAAGUGGUGAGUUUUUGGGACUUCCAUUUUCAAUUGUUGCCCUCGACUCUAUAUGGUAGGCAGAGGGGAGGACAUUAGCCUAUAAAUGCUUGAAAGCUUCUAAGCGUAGACACCCUAGGAGAACCAGAGAGAAGGCAGCACAUCCUUCAAAAGGUCUAUCAUGAGUAAUAAAAACCACCACCAGCACAACAACUUUCUCUGGUUUGUAAAUGAAACUAAGUAAUGAAAAAUGGUUCUGAGAUACAGGUUUCUUCUCCAGUCCCAAGCAAAACUUCUGCUUCCACACACUAUGCUUUAUAAUAAGCCGCCAAUUUAAAACCACACGGUGGAUGAUAGCUAAAUGGAGCAACAACACAGAGACCACUGGAAUCAUUCUUCCAUGGGGUGAUUCUCCUCGGCCUGAGGUCGAGAUACCUUGACUUUGAUUUUUGGGAGGGUAAGAGAUGGCUCCUUUUCGAGAACAGCUGGAGCUUUGACCAUGUGGAUGCCCUGCUCCAGUUCCUUUGCUGCCUCCCUUUGCUCCUUGGCUUUCUUUCCCUUCAUCCUGCCAGAAAUUUUCAUUGACACUUCAGUAUGAAGCAAAAAUAAUCUUACACUAAUGAUGAGGCAAAUAUGAAGAACCUGAGCGCAUGGUGUCUGGCCUCCCUAUCUACUCUAACUUUGUCAAUCUUCUUAAUUGCCUUUAGAGUGUUCUCUGCAAGAUUCCUGUCAUAUCUCUCUGGCCUAUUCCGCUUUCUCUCAAACUCAAAGGUUGAAUCCUAGAAAAUAUGAAAAGAAGCAAAGAAAAGAACAGAUCACCACCCAGUUUUAUGGCAAUGCAGUGGUAACUGCUGAGGAAGAUCAAAAGAGAAAAUAACCAUAAUGAACCAUAUUUACCUGUGUCAUAUCCUUUCCAUGCAACCGCCUGUAGGCCUUUGUCCAUUUUACUUUACGAGGAUUCCUCUUCAUCUUGAAGUUCUUGUGGCAUUUAGAUCUACAGAACCGAAAAAUC